GGCCACACUCUGUCUUCCUUUCUGCUUUCCUUUCACACCAUGGGCCCCAGGCUGUGGGUCAGCAGACUUUCCCUGGGACUACCAAGGAGCCUGCAGCCUCUCUAGGGUCAGCCCUGGACCCCGUCCCUGGAACAGUUGCUGUCUCCCCAAUCCCUAAGCCCACUUAGACCCCUGCCUGCCACUGGGCCACUACUGCCUGAGGAAGCAGCCGUGAGUAUCCUGGUCCCAGGUAGACGUGAUGGCAGGAAGGACCUCAGCCAGCCUGCCAGUACCAGUCUCUCGAUGCCCAGGGUCCUGCUCCAUCUACUUUGUCACCACUGGAGCGAGCAGAUGCCAAGUUUUACAGAUGUUAUGCUGUCCCUGUUGUUAGAGGUUGGAGUGCUGUGUUAAGCCUUGCAGAGGCUGUGUCUAGACUCCUGGGAAAGUGAAUCCUCAUUGAUUAGUAAUGCCUGAUGUGGGUCUGGGAACAAGGAUAGAUGUAUCCAAUGGUCUCCUUUUCAUGUCUCUUCAUCCAAUAGGGCCGCGGUCUAACCUCUCCUGAAGUACCUUAUGUCUUCUAGCAUAGCAGGUGUCAACUAUCUGAGGCUCUGAAAUGAUGAGAAGACCGUGGCCACAAUGUCCAAGUGGAAAAGGGAAGCUUGGGCUGGAGUUUGUGUUUCUGGGUCAGAAGGACCAAGGCAAUGCCAGAGCAUCAUGGAGAAGAGAGACAGAGGCCACUCUGGAAGCCAAGGACCCAGGGAUGGUGGGGAGACCAGUGGGCAGUGUUUGCCACUGUCCCUGACACUUCUGCCUGAGGGCUUGGGCUGGGAGUGAGGGACCCCGACUGACAGAGAUGGGGUUCCAGCAAAGACGCUACUUCUUCAACUGAGACCUGUUCCCAGAGGUGCCUGGGGACAGAGCCAGGCUGCCACAGAGGGGUCUGCUCAAUGCUUCAUAGUGUCACCACCCUCCUGCUGACACUGUCAUCUGCCAGUGAUCCCGGCUGGAGUCAGCUGAGGAGCAGAGUGGAGCCAGAGUGGAGGCUUCAGAGUGUCCAUGUCAGACACUGACCUUGCUUGUGACCUUGGGAGCUAACAGGUGACCAGAGAGGGACGGGUGGUAGAAAGCGCUGGCCCUGGGAUCUGGGGACCCUGGACAGAGGACAGGUGCCGGUCGGCUUCAGGGGAUGAGCUGGCAGCAGAGGAGAGAGUGUGUGACUCACUUUGUAGACACAUCUUGUCCCGCUGGUCACAGCAGCCAGGCCACCUGUCCCAGGGGAUCCUUAUGGGCUUGUGCUAGUGACAGGGCAGUGGGGACCAGGUGACUCCCUUUCCCCCAUGGAGGCCUUGUGUCCAGUGAGAGCUCUCCAUGGCUCCCACACCCAGGGCUCCCUCUGCAGAGCCAGUGCCCCCUGGGGCCUCACACCUGGGUUUCUGUUCCUUUCCCCACAGCUCCCACCACUGGGCUCAUCCAAGUGCCCGGGUCUCUCAGCCCGCACUGGCCCUGCAGAGAUGCCUGCAGCAGGUCCUGCUGCCUCUGCUCUUCUAGGACAGAGGUUUCCACAGAACCCUCCAGGGCUGCACCUCUCUCAGCAGAAAGACUUCAGAGGCUGCAAGGCUCUGUACCCCAGCUCUGCCCCCAGGCCCUCUGGCAUCAUCCUUUCCUCCCUCAACUCACUAGCCUCACCCCUGCAACAUGCCACUAUGCUGCCCCAGGCCCUUUGCACACACUGGUCCCCCACCCCACCUCAAUCCACAACUUCUCUGUUCCAGGUUACAGUUCACAGAGGACCUCCCUGGCCAACCCUCUUGCCUCCUACCUAGAACUUUCUAGAAAUUAUCCCCUUGUUUAUCCAGUUUCUCCUCCAUUCCCCUCCUCUGGAAUGCAGCUGUGGCACAGGUGGGGGACCUGGCUGUUUUGCUCUAGGCUCACACCCACCUCCCAGGACAGGCCCUGCUGCCCUGUAAACACACGGGAAUGAGGGAUUGCAUGCUUCUCCCGGAGCCAGUCCUGCAUGCUGUCUGCCCACAGUCUGCUGCUCUGGCAGGCACAUUCUCCCCUCCCCUGGCUUGGUGUGUAUGUGCUGUGAGACAAGUCGGUCUCCUCUGGUGCAAUGUGUGUGUGCGGG
rnacentral:lncRNA from 1 species